CAUGCUGACGAACUUGUGGGAGGGGUUUUACCUCACCUAUUCUACCUGUUGGCUUGUAACAAACAGGGCGUUAAAUUGAAGAUGGCUGAGCGAUCAAAACUCCCGUCUAAUUUUAAACCUUCCAUGUGGACAGAGUCGACAUCACCUUUCUGUAGUGAUCCAGACAUGAAGAAGGAUGAGCAGGGCUGCUUUACCUGGCUGCCUUUCUUUUUAUGUUGAAUGCAUCUACCUUAUCGCUGCUACUGCUGCUGUGAUCAUCUGCCUACGUUGGAACCCAACUUCUACCUUUCUAUAUGCAUGGAAGAUCUGGGGCUAUCUAGAAAUCCUCCAGGCUGAGCUCGGGGAACCCUGUGGAAGAUAGGAAGGAAGGGUUGCAAAAGCCAGAGGAGAAGUGGACAUCACAUCAAACCCCACAAAAUCAACUAACCUGACUGGAUUUGUAAUCAAGGAGGCUGCGUGGGGCUGACCUAGGCCCUCUACCUAUAUGUUAUGGUCAGGUAGCUUGCUCUUUUGGUGGGACUCCUUGUGGGACACUGGCAGUGGGGGCUGUCUCAGACUCUUGCUUGUUUUUAGAACCCUGGUCCUCUGGCUAGGUUGUCUAGUGCCUAGUAUUACUGAAACUUGAUAUACCAUGUGUGUUUGAUAUCCGUGGGAGGCCUGGAGGCCUCUUCUUUGCAGAGACAUGAAGGAGGAUGAGUGGAUCUGGGGGAGGGGAGAAAGUAUGGGAGGGAGGGUCUCAGAGGAGAAGAGGGAGGGUAAAACUGCAGUGGAGAUGCACUAUAUGAGAGAAGAAUAAAAGGUGCAAACAAACAAAAAUAAAUAAAAGUUAACUAACUAACUAACUAACUAACUAACUAACUAAAUACUUUAGACCACAAUUGCCAGAAUGGGACUAGCUUCAUGAACUGAGAGACCAGAUUCUCAGCCUCUCCAGCCUGCUGACAGUCACUGUAGGACUAUCCAACUUCUAUUAUGUCAGAUAAGCUAAUGAAUUCCCUGUGUAAUAUAUGCCAAUUUAUUACUUCUGUUACUCAAGAGACUCUUAACACAGACAGUAUCCUUAAGAAGUAUUUGCCAUAUGAACGCCACAAAUGUAUAUAAAAUUUAAAA